rnacentral:lncRNA from 1 species
GAGAAUUAUAUAAAUCAACCAUGGACUUCCCAUACCAGCAUAGUGCAUUACUAAAAUGAAAAUAAGGCACAAGUGAUAACCCACAAGUAUAGGGGAUCGCGACAGUCUUCACGGGUAGUAUUUCACCCUAAUCUAUUGAUUCGACACAAGGGGGCCAAACAAUAUUUAUUGGCCUUGACAGUUGAGUUAAAAAUUCAAACGCACAUGGGAUAUCUCUCUGCAACAAAGUCUUAGUAGCAUGGUAAAUUAUAGUAGUAGAAGUAACAGUGAUAGCAGCAAUUUUGGUAACAACAAUAAUAGUAGCGAUCGAGUAACAGGUGUGACAGUAAUAGCACGAGUAGUAACUUAGCAAGAUUCAGUAUAUGUAAAGCGUGGGCAUGUGGAUCGGUGAUGGAUAAGGAUUUAGAU